UGUUGUUGGCACUAUCAAAAUUUUUAGCGAUUUGUACGCGUUUGUACGCCCUCGUACGCGCGCAUAUGCGCAUAUGUGGCGAGGGCCUUAAUUUCAAAGGAUUUCCAGUGGACGAACCAACAAACGGCAAAGAGAAAAGUUGUUGCUAUCUUGACGAAAUAUCUAUCGACUCGCCUGACUCGCCGCGCGCACGCCAUUGUGUGCGCCGUGAUUUUCGUCUUGUCGUCGCUUCAUCAUCGGAGCAAUUUUGUUUCAGCAUCCAUCGACUGAUUCGAGAUAUCCCAUUACAAAAUUUCUAUUGUAAUUCUCAUCUAGGAGCUGCGAGCAUCGACGCCAACGAGUCGUCGUCAUUCGCUGCGAUAGGUCCCGAGCAGCAGUCAACGACCGG